rnacentral:rRNA from 1 species
AUGAGCGUGUUCUUGGGCCAUCGUAGAAACAUAGAUAGGGUCAACGACGGAACGAACAACGAAACUUUACGACAGCUUUUUCGUACACGUUCACUUGCAUCACAUACACAAGUGCUCUCUGAACCGUGCAAUAAGCUCUGGAUCCCGCCUGCUUGCAGAAAUGAAUGGAUCAGAAAGGGGGCUGGGUUCUAUUUCCGGGCCGGGCAGGAGGUGAAGGCCAGAAGAAGAAGAGAAGUGCGCCUUCCCGGUAAGGAAGAGGAUAAAAAGGUGCUAAGCAAGUGUAGUUCACCGGUUCCACCGAAUGCUCCUAUCUCUCGGCAAAGAUCGUGUGAGUGUGCAGUUAUGCUUCGGAUGCUUCGCCAUGGAAUAGAUCGAUUCAGUUCCCCUUCUUUUCCGGUGCACUCGCUUUGUAUCUCCGACACACAAGGAAGGACGCGGUGGGAAGAAAGCUGCCCUAGCCUCUGUCCGGUCGAUCAUUCCGCCAGCAUCUUGCAUUCACGCCUCCGUUUGACUGCCGCUCGGGAAUGUAGUUGUAGAUACUCGUCGCCAUAUUCAAUAUGUCACUUAGUCAUAUCUGCCUCGCAGCGGGUCAGCACCUCCGAAAGAAAGGGAGGGAGGACUUCAUUCAGUGACUCCGCGAUCGCCCUCUAG